AUUGCUUCUCGGCCUUUUGGCUAAGAUCAAGUGUAGUAUCUAAGAAACUUGUCUGUACCAUUUUAUUUAUUUAUAUUUUAAUUAAUUUUUAAAAAUGUUUAUUUAUUUUGAGAGAGAGAGAGAGAGAGAGAGAGAGAGAGAAUCACAAGCAGGCUCCAUGCUGUCAGUACAGAGCCUGAUGUGGGACUCGAA